GGGAAUAUGUUGAAUCAUCCGUUGCUUUACCUUUGUCAGGAUCUAUUUAAUUCUUCUAAGUAGAGUUGAGUUUGAAAUUCUAAAGGCUCCCUCCUGAAUAGCAAAAGCAGCCUCGAGACUAUCUGUUUGAAUUAAGAUCCUUUUGAAUCCUCUGUUUAAGAUCAACUUUAACCCAUCCAAGAUGCCCCAAAGCUCAGCCUCCGUCACUGUAUAAUUGCCCAAAUAUCAACUAAACCCAAUGAUCCAUCUACCAUUUUGGUCACACACUAACCCUCAUGCUGCAGCAAAU
rnacentral:lncRNA from 1 species